rnacentral:rRNA from 1 species
CUGUAAGUCGAACGUGAGGGAAUAGCAAUAUUCUUGAAAGUGGCGCACGGGUGAGUAAUACGUAGGUAACCUGCCCUGGAGUGGGGGAUAACAGCUAGAAAUGGCUGCUAAUACCGCAUGAGGCCGAGACACUGGGAAGUGUUUUGGCGAAAACUCUGGUGCUUCAGGAGGGGCCUGCGGCCGAUUAGCUAGUUGGCGGGGUAAGAGCCUACCAAGGCAGUGAUCGGUAGCUGGUCUGAGAGGACGAUCAGCCACACGGGAACUGAGACACGGUCCCGACUCCUACGGGGGGCAGCAGUGAGGAAUAUUGGGCAAUGGGCGGAAGCCUGACCCAGCAACGCCGCGUGGAGGAAGACGGCCUUCGGGUUGUAAACUCCUUUUACGGGGGAAGAGGAAGGACGGUACCCCGAGAAUAAGUCACGGCUAACUACGUGCCAGCAGCCGCGGUAAUACGUAGGUGACAAGCGUUAUCCGGAAUUACUGGGCGUAAAGCGCACGCAGGCGGCGCAUUAAGUCUGAUGUGAAAUCUCCCGGCUUAACUGGGAGGGGUCAUUGAAAACUGAUGUGCUUGAGGCGGUGAGAGGGGUGUAGAAUUCCCGGUGUAGUGGUGGAAUGCGUAGAUAUCGGGAGGAAUACCAGUGGCGAAAGCGGCACCCUGGCACUAGCCUGACGCUCAUGUGCGAAGGCGUGGGGAGCGAACGGGAUUAGAUACCCCGGUAGUCCACGCGGUAAGCGAUGAAUACUAGGUGUGGGGGGAGUGAAAUCCYUUCUGUGCCGAAGCAAACGCGCUAAGUAUUCYGCCUGGGGGAGUACGGCCGCAAGGGCUAAAAACUCAAAGGAA